rnacentral:rRNA from 1 species
AAAACAAUAACGAACGCUGGCGGCAGGCUUAACACAUGCAAGUCGAGCGCCCCGCAAGGGGAGCGGCAGACGGGUGAGUAACGCGUGGGAAUCUACCCAUCUCUACGGAACAACUCCGGGAAACUGGAGCUAAUACCGUAUACGUCCUUUUGGAGAAAGAUUUAUCGGAGAUGGAUGAGCCCGCGUUGGAUUAGCUAGUUGGUGGGGUAAAGGCCUACCAAGGCGACGAUCCAUAGCUGGUCUGAGAGGAUGAUCAGCCACACUGGGACUGAGACACGGCCCAG